CCCUUAGAUGUCCUGGGCCGCACGCGCGCUACACUGAGUGUCUGAGAUACGAGUCUGCCUGGUCCGGCAAGGUCUAGGUAAUCGCUAAAAGACACAUCAUGCUUGGGAUAGAUUAUUGCAAAUAUUAAUCUUGAACGAGGAAUUCCUAUUAAGCGCAAGUCAACAGCUUGCGUUGAUUACGUCCCUGCCCUUUGUACACACCGCCCGUCGCUACUACUGAUUGGAUGUUUAAGCGAGGUUCUCGAACUGCUAGCGACUUAGCUUCGGUGAGGUCGCAGUGUGGGAAGUGAACCUAGCUUUGGUGUCUAGAGGAAGUAAAAGUCGUAACA
rnacentral:rRNA from 1 species